UAUAUUGAAUGGCAUCAUUCGAUAUUGAAAACUCCGGUGGAUAGAGAUGGGCACGCGCAAGAUUAGAUAGUUGGUGAGGUAACGGCUCACCAAGUCUACGAUCUUUAGGGGGCCUGAGAGGGUGAUCCCCCACACUGGUACUGAGACACGGACCAGACUCCUACGGGAGGCAGCAGUGAGGAAUAUUGGACAAUGGGUGAGAGCCUGAUCCAGCCAUCCCGCGUGAAGGACGACGGCCCUAUGGGUUGUAAACUUCUUUUGUAUAGGGAUAAACCUAGAUACGUGUAUCUAGCUGAAGGUACUAUACGAAUAAGCACCGGCUAACUCCGUGCCAGCAGCCGCGGUAAUACGGAGGGUGCAAGCGUUAUCCGGAUUUAUUGGGUUUAAAGGGUCCGUAGGCGGAUCUGUAAGUCAGUGGUGAAAUCUCACAGCUUAACUGUGAAACUGCCAUUGAUACUGCAGGUCUUGAGUGUUGUUGAAGUAGCUGGAAUAAGUAGUGUAGCGGUGAAAUGCAUAGAUAUUACUUAGAACACCAAUUGCGAAGGCAGGUUACUAAGCAACAACUGACGCUGAUGGACGAAAGCGUGGGGAGCGAACAGGAUUAGAUACCCUGGUAGUCCACGCCGUAAACGAUGCUAACUCGUUUUUGGGAUUUAGGUUUCAGAGACUAAGCGAAAGUGAUAAGUUAGCCACCUGGGGAGUACGUUCGCAAGAAUGAAACUCAAAGGAAUUGACGGGGGCCCGCACAAGCGGUGGAUUAUGUGGUUUAAUUCGAUGAUACGCGAGGAACCUUACCAAGGCUUAAAUGGGAAAUGACAGGUUUAGAAAUAGACUUUUCUUCGGACAUUUUUCAAGGUGCUGCAUGGUUGUCGUCAGCUCGUGCCGUGAGGUGUUAGGUUAAGUCCUGCAACGAGCGCAACCCCUGUCACUAGUUGCCAUCAUUAAGUUGGGGACUCUAGUGAGACUGCCUACGCAAGUAGAGAGGAAGGUGGGGAUGACGUCAAAUCAUCACGGCCCUUACGCCUUGGGCCACACACGUAAUACAAUGGCCAGUACAGAGGGCAGCUACACAGCGAUGUGAUGCAAAUCUCGAAAGCUGGUCUCAGUUCGGAUUGGAGUCUGCAA
rnacentral:rRNA from 1 species